rnacentral:rRNA from 1 species
ACCACAACAGGUGGAGCCUGCGGUUUAAUCGGAUUCAACGCCGGGAAACUCACCGGACCCGACAGCUGAAUGAUAGUCGGGCUGAAGACUCUACUUGAUUAGCUGAGAGGAGGUGCAUGGCCGUCGUCAGUUCGUACUGUGAAGCAUCCUGUUAAGUCAGGCAACGAGCGAGACCCACGCCAACAGUUGCCAGCUCGUCCUCCGGGAUGGUGGGGACACUGUUGGGACCGCCUCUGCUAAAGAGGAGGAAGGAAUGGGCAACGGUAGGUCAGCAUGCCCCGAAUUGUCCGGGCUACACGCGGGCUACAAUGGGUGGGACAAUGGGUAUCGACACCGAGAGGUGAAGGCAAUCUCCUAAACCCAUCCUUAGUUCGGAUUGUGGGCUGUAACUCGCCCACAUGAAGCUGGAAUCUGUAGU